rnacentral:rRNA from 1 species
GCUUACGGCCAUACCACUCUGAACACGCCCGAUCUCGUCUGAUCUCGGAAGCUAAGCAGGGUCGGGCCUGGUCAGUACUUGGAUGGGAGACCGCCUGGGAAUACCAGGUGCUGUAAGCU